UAAGCUUUGAAACCACAGAAGAAAGUUUGAGGAACUACUACGAACAAUGGGGAAAGCUUACAGACUGUGUGGUAAUGAGGGAUCCUGCAAGCAAAAGAUCAAGAGGAUUUGGUUUUGUAACUUUUUCAUCCAUGGCUGAGGUUGAUGCUGCCAUGGCUGCAAGACCUCAUUCAAUUGAUGGGAGAGUAGUUGAGCCAAAACGUGCUGUAGCAAGAGAGGAAUCUGGAAAACCAGGGGCUCAUGUAACUGUGAAGAAGCUGUUUGUUGGCGGAAUUAAAGAAGAUACUGAGGAACAUCACCUUAGAGAUUACUUUGAGGAAUAUGGAAAAAUUGAUACCAUUGAGAUAAUUACUGAUAGGCAGUCUGGAAAGAAAAGAGGCUUUGGCUUUGUUACUUUUGAUGACCAUGAUCCUGUGGAUAAAAUCGUAUUGCAGAAAUACCAUACCAUCAAUGGUCAUAAUGCAGAAGUAAGAAAGGCUUUGUCUAGACAAGAAAUGCAGGAAGUUCAGAGUUCUAGGAGUGGAAGAGGAGGCAACUUUGGCUUUGGGGAUUCACGUGGUGGCGGUGGAAAUUUCGGACCAGGACCAGGAAGUAACUUUAGAGGAGGAUCUGAUGGAUAUGGCAGUGGACGUGGAUUUGGGGAUGGCUAUAAUGGGUAUGGAGGAGGACCUGGAGGUGACAUGUGAAACCUUUUUUAAGAUUUUUCUCAAAGUUUUGAAAAGCUAUUAGCCAGGAUCAUGGUGUAAUAAGACAUAACGUUUUUCCUUUAAAAAAAUUUAAGUGCGUGUGUAGAGUUAAGAAGCUGUUGUACAUUUAUGAUUUAAUAAAAUAAUUC
rnacentral:lncRNA from 1 species